CUUGUUGGAUAUCUUGGAUGUUUUUCUGUUCCUGAGGCCUGUGGAAGUGUUUUCCAUUGUGUUACAGCUGUGAAUGUGUGAAAUAAAAUGAGAGGGUAUGCAACAUAAUUCAGCUGUCUGUGUGUGAGAAGGGUAUACAAGAUAUUGGAAAAAUAUAUUUUUUGCCCUUUUUCUGUUACAACUUAAAAUGUGAAAUGAUCAUUCAAGUUGAUAUAGUUCUGAGAAUGGAUAACUUCAGAGGUUUAGCUAUAAUUGAGGUGGCUGCAAAUACAAAGCUCACAGCAGAUAAGAAGUUGUAUCUAAAACCUGAUUAAAGAAUGUUCUUUAUGAAAAUUUUUGACAGAUGAACAAAGAGGAGAGUUCCUCCAGCCCUCUGCAUAUCCUGAUGGUUCUCCUCUUCCUCAAGGUCCAUGUCCUUUUUAUGAUGUGGGUCACAAGGUUGAAAGCCUUAUGCCAGCUUGGCAUCCCUGGGCUUCUUGCUGCACAAGAAGUAAAGAAGAACUUGACUCUGCUCAGCAACAACUAAAAUGCACGUGUGCUAUUAACAUCCUUCUCAAAUUUGAAACAUAGUACCAUAUGUGCCUCUAUGAAGAAAAUUAACGCUAUCCCAGCUUAAAAAAAAAAAAAAAAAGUUAUACUUCAGAAGGUCUCCUCACUGCCUCUGUUAGGAAUCAAGUUACAGUAAUGUCACUAUGUUGCUGCUGCUGACUAAGUAAUUAAUCAGCUCACUGACGUUUGUUUUCUCACCCAUAUAUGAAGUCUCAUUUCCAGUAUACUUUAAAAAUAAUCAGUAGCAGGUGACACUUUUGUGGGACCAAAAGUAAACAAACAUGUAAACAAUAUCACAGUAUCACGGACCUACAAAAAUGUAAAACAUUCAUGAGAAUAGAUAAAAAUGUGGCUUUGGCUGUAGGAAUCCAAUCCUCCCUAUUUUUAGAGAUUCUAUACAUGGAGGAUUUAAUUCUUAAUUUCUAAACCAACUUUAUUGGAAGAUAUUUAAUGUUACAUAGGAUUUUAACUUAGAAAAAUGUUAUAGCAAUGUACUGAAAUAACUAUUUAAGAAUAGUUAAUACUAUUCUUAUUUAUACUGAAUAAACACUUAUUUAUACUAAAUAAGCACUAUAUUUAUACUAAAUAAACACUUAAAUUACAAC
ensembl:lncRNA